CCCCUAGAUGUUCUGGGCCGCACGCGCGCUACACUGAACAGUUCAACAAGUCUUAACCUUGGCCGAUAGGUCUGGGUAAUCUUUGAACGCUGUUCGUGACUGGGAUAGACCUUUGCAAUUAUGGGUCUUCAACGAGGAAUUCCUAGUAAACGCAAGUCAUCAACUUGCAUUGAUUACGUCCCUGCCCUUUGUACACACCGCCCGUCGCACCUACCGAUUGAAUGGUCCGGUGAAGCCUCCGGAUUGGCGCGCACCUCGGUGCCGCCGAGAAGUUGGCUAAACCUUACCAUUUAGAGGAAGGUGAAGUCGUAACA
rnacentral:rRNA from 1 species